GAUGAGUCGUAACAGGUAGCCUACUCUAUAGUUUGAUCCUGGCUCAGAUACGUCGGGAACAAGGGUAGCCAAAGGGGGCGAAUGUCUGGCGGAUAAUCCUUUUCACACACUGGGCCGGUCGCGCCUUCGGAGGCGAUGCCAUUCUUA
rnacentral:rRNA from 1 species